rnacentral:lncRNA from 1 species
AAAAAAAUAAAAGAAAGUGAAAGAAUUCACAUGUUUUGAUGAAUUAACUGUUUGACAUCAUAAAGGUUCUGGGUGCCAUGGGAGCAGGUGACAAACGCAGAGUGGAUGUAGGCAGCUGGUCAUUCACAUGUGAAGUGCUGAACCAACCCUGUUUCUGUUCAACUCCAGCCCUUCAGCUGGCAGCACAUGCUCAUGGCUCACAGCACCAAUGCUCUCAACCUGUCCUCCUCAUCUUCUCAGCUUCGCGCAACACUCGAGGAUAGCUACAGGCAGGGGCUGAGCCAGGUGUCUGCAUCACGAGGUUUCAGCACCACAUGCCUGGACAGCACUCCGCCGCGUCCGCAAACCCUUCCCCAGCAGCACCGCCUGCGUUACUGUGCACCCAUGGGAAAAGCACUGCCAAGCAAGCCGAUUUUCUGAAGAGUGUGGAAGAGAGUAUGGAAGAAGAUCCUUUCCCAGUCUGGAAGAGGGCAAUGCUGCUGUGGCAUGUAUGGAGGGCAAGGUCACUCCUAUCCCGCACGCCUCCACAGAAUCCUUUGCCUCAAGGUCAUGUAAUCACAGAGGGGUUUAAGUUGGAAGGGUCUCCUAGUCAGCAUGUGAUCCAAAAUUCUGCUCAAGUUAUGUCAGGAUUCCCAGGGUCGUAUCCAGUAAAGAUGUGAAUAUCUGCAACAGACUAUUUGACAUUUUAAAGAAGAUCUUCUCUCCUAUAGGCAGAAUACUUGGAGUUGGAGUAGGCCUGAAGGAUAGACCAGACGGAGGUGUUGGUGUUUAGGGUAGCACCGGUCUGGAGCAGAGCUCUGAGCCACGUCACAGCGUCUGUACUGCUCUGCAGAGCCAACUCACUGCCAUGUGAAAAUUCCAGGUUAUUUCCUCUGGUUGAAAUACCCUGUACCAGGAGAGACUAGGCACAGACAGAAGUGAGGAUGGCAGCAGUGCUUCAAGACACAAAGAGCAGCCACAGAGCAGGUUGCAGGUCACUGGCACAGCAUCUCCAUGUCUUUGAUGCUGACACAACUUCUGGUUAACAGAAAAUCUUUGAAGUGUUUAAACAUAGGAGGGAGGAGACAAAGGCAAGGCCAAGUUUAAGAGCAGAUGCUUCUCAGCCUCCAUCAGCAAAAAAAUCAAAGAGACGAUUAAAUAGAUUAUGCUAAUUAAGAGAAGUAAUAUACAGAGGAGAACAAGACAGCAUUUUCUUUGGGGGACAUUAGCGGUUGCCCAGGUGACAAAUAAAGUUUUCCCAGCUGAUCUGUCCUGGCUAAUG